rnacentral:rRNA from 1 species
CGGACGGGUGAGUAACGCGUGGGUAACCUGCCCUGUACACACGGAUAACAUACCGAAAGGUAUGCUAAUACGGGAUAAUAUAAGAAAUUCGCAUGUUUUUCUUAUCAAAGCUCCGGCGGUACAGGAUGGACCCGCGUCUGAUUAGCUAGUUGGUGAGGUAACGGCUCACCAAGGCAACGAUCAGUAGCCGACCUGAGAGGGUGAUCGGCCACAUUGGAACUGAGACACGGUCCAA